CACGUCACCGGCUGGUCUCACCUGACCCUGUGGUGUUGGGUGGAGGGCUGGAGGGAAGAGCAGAGUCCCGGCUCCGGCCAGGAGCUUGCCCUCUCCUCCAGCCUCUCUCCUCAUCUGUACCCAGGGGACAACUGAGUCUCCUCAAAGAGAAACUGAGGGUCAGUGAGGCCUCCUCCUGACACGGCACCGAUGACCCCCCGCCCCCAGCUGGGUCUGUAGGCCUCAUCCUGGACGGGGGUCAGGGCAGAAGCCCCUGAGGAGUGGUCCCUCUUCCACUGGGCAGAGCCACAGAGUGCCAUCUGAGGCCUCACAGCCCCAGCAUGGUGACCAGCCGGGGCAAGUGCCCAGCAAGGUAUGCUGGAGGGAUGGGGGUAGGUAAAGGCAUUGGCGGACAGCCUGCGCCUCACCCUCAUGGCAGCAGUGUGCCCAGGCUAGGGGGCUGUCUCAGCAUCCCCAGGGGAAAGGAGGUGGCUGUGAUUAACCUGAGUACGCAGGGCAUCCUAGCGGGACAGGAAUCGGGUUGCCAAGCUGGCAGCCCUGGUGGACUUUGGACGGUGUGAGCUCAUGUGCCCUCGUGGCUGAAGGAGUCGGGACACGUACCCCUGGUCUUCAACAAAUGAAAACAGUGUUUGACGCAGUGCUUACUGAGUGGCAGUGUAAGUCUGUACCUUAAUCAUUAGCAAACUCUCCUGCCGUGCUCACGAUCCCAUAGGACGAGGGGUCCAGUCGUUCCUCCUACAGGGCUCCUGGGCAGUAGGUCUCAACGCCCUGCUAUCGUUUGGACCUGGAGUGACCCCCGAGGCUCAUGUGUUGAAGGUUCGGUCCCCAGGGCAACAAUGUCCAGAGAAAGGGCUUUGGGAGGUGAUUGGAUCACGAAGGCUCUGACUCCCUCAGUGGAUUAAUCCUGUGAUGGUUCAUGGCUGAGUGGACUGCGGGAGGUAGGGGAACUGUAGGAGGGGGACUUAGUUGUGGGGAGUGGGUCCUUGGUGGCUCUAUUUGUCCCUGGACCCUUAUCUCCACCCCUCACCCCCUGUCUCUCUCCCUCUCUGCUUCCUGGCAAAGCCAUGUGGCCAGCCGUCUGAGCCCCCACAUCCACCGUGAUGGAAAUGGUCCUCUGUCACAGAGCGUUAUAGAGGUGCCCUGGAUUUGAAUGCAGGACCCUGCGGUUCCUGUCUUCCUGGCUAAGCACCCCUCCCCAUGAUCCUUCCUGGCCACUGUCACCAGCAGACUCCUCUAGACUCAGGGGUGCUCACGGGAGUGAGGAGAGGAGGUGGCGGAGCCGGCGGAGCAGCACCCCCGCUGAGCUCCAGGAGGGACAGUGUGUGCAGGAAACAGAACUGAGGAUGAGAUGGUGUUGUGUGGUGAGUGGAACCCAAAGCGACCUCCGGCCGGUCCCUCCCAAUGUCAACACACACUUGCAAAUCCAGGCGGCAAGGAGGAUUAACUGUGGAGCAAGUGAAAUUGAUCUCAAGCCCAGGGCACGGCAUUCGGCAGCUUUCAACACUCAAGAAUCAUGGGGCUGGUGUGGUGACGGUCUCCCCAGUGCCCUGGCCCUCAGGGUUUAUGCAGAUGGCGGCUUGUUCACUGUGGCGGGAGCUGCAGGGACCUUCUCUUUGCCAAGGGCCUUUUCCAGCUGAGGAAGCAGGCAGACCUGCACCAUGCAGGAGACAGCAAGUCACACAAAGUGAGCAGAGGCACCCCUGCCCUGGCAGCCGCCCCGGGAGCAGCCAGCGCCUGCAGUCGGUGCCAGCCUCACUGCAGAGCCAUGACCGCAAGUCUCCAAGGGCCGCUCGGCACACCGGGCAAGUCCACGUUUUCCUAAUCGAUUUCCCUCUCCACGUCGGUGGUGGGGGGGAGCAUUGAAUUGGGUGAAGCUAAAAGCAGCCAGACUCAACCCCUAAAUGACCCCAGGGGAGGAGCCCAUUCCCAUUUGCUUUCAGAGGGACACACUGUGGAAUCCAAAUUGAAGCAUCUUCUGGGACACAGCAAAACGCCAAAUGCUCUUGCUGCCGGCUCGGGCUCUGCUCUGCUCAGCCUUCGCGGGCUCCCAUUGCCAGCCGGGCACUCUAGGUGCAGCUGGGCCAUUCAGAGCAGAUGCCUGACCCAGGAGGCUGCCUGAGCCAGCGGUCACAGACAGUUUCUGAGCUGAAGCUCCUGGGCCCGGUUGUCUAGGGCUGGACUGCCCAGGAUCUGCAGUGGCCCGUCACUAUGCAUGGUGUCACUCCCCUUCUGCAGACCUCACUGGGAGCAGACCCUGCCCUGCCCUGUCCUUCACCUCCCUGCCCCCUUUGGGAACUCAAGCGCCUGCCCAUCGGCAGGUCCCCACCUGCCCUGCAGCCUCCCUUCUCUGUGGCUUGUCCCCGUGUCUCACCUGGAUGUCUUUCCCCUCUGCCUUGCUCAGACUCAGGUGGGCACAGUCCCCCCAGAAGCUUCCCUGAUCCCCAGGCUGGGCCGGCACCUGUGUGGAAGCCACAGCCCAGGGCUGCCUUUCCUGUCAAUGACCCCUGUGCUGCUGUCAUCUGUUGAAAAUGGAUGGACCCUCCUGGAGGGGAGGGGGCGCCACUGAGCUCUCUCUGUCAGCCCUGGGCCUGGGUCAGUUGGGUCCCCUGGGGUGUCCCUCCCAUGCCUCUGCUCUGACAAACCGGCCUCUGGCUCUUGAGCCCCCAGAUCUUAACACCAGCUGGGCCCAAAUCUGCGUCCUCCACCUCCUUGGCUGAGCAGCUCCUGGGGGACAUGCCCGGGGCCUCAGGGCAGCCUUCACUGACCAUGGUUCUCCCAGGAGGGUGUGGCCGAGCUGAAAGGCUCUGCCGGGCUCAGUGUGGACUUACUUCUCUCUGUUGAAUAUGAUGAAUUCCUUCCGCACUGUCUCCAAGCACUGCUGCAGGUGUCCAUUCUGUCAGAGAGCACAGAGAGGUGACUGAGCAUGGAGCACUGUCCAGGGACAGGCGGCAAGGGACACAAAGGAAGGAACAGGAGCUUCAGGACGAUGGAUCCCAAGCCUGUGGGUGUUCACUGGGCCUACGUGAGAGGAGCAUGGGGAGAAGAAGUACAAGACCGCGGUGCCAGGGGCUGGGGCCAGGAGAAUCCUAGGGCUCCCCAGGAGCAGAUGCCAGGACCCCCCACACCACAAAUGCUCGCUGACACUGUCCCCGAGGCCCCCAAAGCCACACACUGAUGCAGGUGGCGUGGGAAGCUCGCUCCCCUCUUGUGCUCCUCGCGCUCGCAGGGCAGGGGGCUCUGUCUCUGCAACACACACAGCUGCUCAGGGCCGAGGGCCCCGAGACUUCAGAGGGGACGAAGGUGUUUAUUUUCUUUUAAAAUCAGAGGGAAACAAGGAACCUUGGCAUCACAGUUCAUAUUCAUCUUGAUAUCAAUGCUUUAAAACCAAACCAGAUUCUUUAUAGGGGAAGGGGCUGUUGAGGGUCAAAAUGCAUCCCACCAAAUAGGCUCCAGUCCUGAGCCCUGGUACUUGUGCACUCGGCCUCUCUGAAACGGGAUCUUGCUGGUGUGAUCCAGUUGGUGACUGAGAGUGGGUUAGGGUGGGUCCUAAAACCAGUGACUGGUGUCCUUCUGUGAGAGCCAUGUGGAGACACAGGGACACAGAAAGAAGGGGAGGUGAGGAUGGAGGAGGGGUCCCCGCGGCUGCAGGGCAGGGACACAGGAUACCCAGCUGCUUAAGCUUGGAAGGGCAGGAGGCCCGCCCCUGCCCCUCGCUCGGCACUCUCCCCCAGCCCUGGGGACACUCCUGAAGCACUCACCAGGGGGCAGCUGUCCUUGGUGCCGUCUUUGGACCUGUGCUUUGCCAACCUCUUCUUCUUUUUGUGAAGGGGCUUGGAUUCUAGAAUCAUCUCUUCAAGUUCAAACGUGGGGUCACAGUUCAACCUCCCUUUCUGAAGUGGGAAGAAAACAGGUCACCAGGCUGCGCUGUGACGGGCGCUCCCCUACCCCUGUUCUCUCAGGAGCCAUGUCAGACACCCUCUUCCCAGGAUGAACGGGACUCUUCCGCCCCUCGCUGUCCCAUUAGCUUUCCUGAUUCACCCCUGUGCAUGGUUUUCAUGAGAGUGAGCUCAGUUUUCCAAUCUGAUCUUCUCCACUGAUUAAUUCAUCACAUACACAUUCUCAUGUCAUUUUUAUCUUUUUCUAGAAAUACAUUAAUUCUAUAAGUAUUAUAAACCAUUUUAUAAUCAUUA